UGCUCUUGGUUAAGAGUUUAUUUAGGAUGUUGAUUAUUGGAAUUUCGUUCAUAUGUAAUGCUACACAUGAGGGGAAGAUUGAAGAUUUUUAUCUGCUAUGUACAAUUCAUCAAUAGGAGAUUUUUGUUAGUGAAGAUUAUUUACCAGCUCGUGUCUUCAGUAACGAUUUUAGCUUUUGAAAGGCAACAUUAAUGAAGCGAUAUCUUAAGAUGAGGUGAUCUCUUAAGGAUCUAAGUUGCUGCCCUCCAUCUUUACCUCUUUUAAAUCAUGAUAUGGUGUUCUUGAAGAUUGGUUGUCCACCUUAUGCGAUUGAAUUAAUUCAUUUCCUUGAAGAUCGAGUUCUUCCUUUAUAUUGAAGAUCGAGUCUUCCCCUAUUGGAGAUCAAGUUCCACAAUUAUAGGAGACCAUCUGUCAUCAUUACCUGUCUGUUGCUACGGUAUUUUGGAUUGAGGUUGAUGACAUCUACUAUUUCUACGAUUUUUUUAUUCUUCCUUUUGGAGAUUGAGUCUUCCUCAGACAUUGAAGAUCAAGUCUCCUCCUCUUGAAGAUCAAGUAUUGCAUAUGUUGAUAAGGACCUAGACUUGGAGAGCAUCACUGUUGGCUAGUUGGCAGUGGUGGAGUGCAUAGAAGCCAAGGAUGAUCCCACUUGUCCGUGCACCUCAUGCCUAAUUGGAAGGUUUUCCAUAACCAAAAGAAUCAGAGCAAGGAGAGAAGGAGGAGAAGAAGAAGGAGAAGGAAAGAGAAAAGAAGGUUGCUCAUGCUUUAUGGGAUUAGCUGAUCCAGCAAUCUACAUAGUAGAUGGAGACACCAAUGAGCAGCCAGGUUGUAGGUUGGAGACCUCCAAGAUUGCCAGUGACACUUUGUGUGCCACAUUAUCAUGUAGGGUAAUACCAGUUUGUGUAUGAUUUUAUCUUAUGUAAAUUGAUUACUCGUGA